AUCCAUUGAUCCAGUGUAGUAGCCAUAGACAGUAAAGGGUAGUAGCUGACGGACUCUGGAAGUAGGCAUGCGAGUAAAUAAUUGUGAUGUUUUAUAGUAGAUAGAGUAAAUCAUUUAAAUGAUUCCAAAAAAAUAUAUGCUAGAGAGGUGUUAAGACUGCUAUAGAAAUCAGCGGUCUUGAGCUAAGUUACUAUUUGCAAUAUCUCCAUACGAUCUCGGAUAAAAUUUAAAAGAACGCAAUGGAUGUGGCACACGUACUUCAGGAGAUGAAAAUCGGAGACAAAGGUUCCUGCUCUGUUCUUGCAGCGUUGAGCCACAUUCGUGAGCAUUUCGAGGUGGAAGAUGCACAUGAGAAUCGCUUGCGCAUCUUGGAAUACACAGCGGAGCUGCUCGCAAACGCUCCUCUUUCUUGGCUCUUUCCUGGAGGGAACACUGAUUUACGAGGCCAGUAUUUGGGCUUAGUGAACUCAUUUACCCGUUACGCUGCCCUGCCAGUAUGUGAAACAGACAGCGGCACUUUACCUGCUAAUAAUUACGAGGACAUACCGGCCAAAGCUCAAGCUGUUAUCACAGUGCUUCUUGCGUUGUCUCUGCAGAUUCAGAAUGCACUGGAGGAUCAAAACAGUCCAGCUAUCAUGUCUCUAGUUCGCACACUAGUGCCCACCUACUGUAUAUUCUCCAUUACACACUUGCAGGAGCAGCCUUGGACAAGUGCAGCCUCCAGAAAAAGAGCUCUGGAACUCUUAACGUCAGUAGUGGAAUUGACAGGCAGCAGGUCAGUGGAAGAGCUGCUGUCUGGAAAACUUGAUGAGGACCAGAAAGGAGUUCUGGGGCCAGUUCUUGACACACUGCAGCCAGAAUUAACCAAGGAGAGCUGGAAGCGUAACCAGGCAGUGAAGCAUGUGUUCUCCUGGGUGCUGGUUCAGGUUGGACGACCCUGUUUAACGGAGUAUUUGGAGAAGGUGUUUCCGCCCUCUUUGCUUAUAUCUGAUGAUUAUCACACAGAAAACAAAGUAUUGGGUGUGCACUGCCUGCAUCACAUUGUUCUCAAUGUGCCUGGUGCUGAUCUGAGGCAGUUCAACAGAGCUCAGGUGCUCUAUCAUGCUGUAUUCAAUCACUUACACACAUCGGAGGCCACGCUUAUACAGGUUGUGCUGCCCUGCCUUAUAGACUUGCUGUCAGUCCUUGAGAAACCUCCAGCCCUUGCAGCUACACGGCGUAAACAAAAUCGAUUUGACAAUAUGCUCCGGCACGUGUUGACAUACAUGGAAAUGGAGCACAAGCGUGACCUUCGUUGUGUAUAUGCCAGAAAUCUUGUCUUACUGAUUGAGAGGAUUGGUAUAGUAAUUAUUCGUCACAUGAAAAGGCUGGAGAGGGUGAUUGUUGGCUAUUUGGAAGUCUCGGAUGCUCCAGAGGAGAAAUGCAGACUGAAUAUCCUGGAGGCUCUGCAAAAGACUCUACAGAUUGCUUGGCCAUGGUGACCACUAUACAUCACCAAUGCUUCAUAUGGAGAAGAGGAUGGGUUUGCUAACUCAGAGUCUUCUGAAGUUUCUGGUUGACAUUUCAUCAGACUCAUUACCCACUCAGCUGAAAGAGCACCUCAUGACUGAAGCAUCCCAAUGUUUACUGCUGCUCAACCACUGCUCAAAGGGAAAACUACAGACUCUUCUGAGAGAGAUAGACAGCAGUUGUGUCCCUGACGCUGUGUUGAUGUGUAUUCAGAAAGUAACUGCAGCACCACUGUGUCAAUAAGCUGUAAGCUGGUAAAAAUACUUGCCCCUUUUCCCAUUUAUGGAGGUGAAGUUAGCUGAGUAAAAUCUGUAAUAAAAUAUACUGUAAUACUCUCUGUGUUUGGACUAUCCAACUGUUUAUACGUAUUUGAGAGAGCGAGAGAGAGAAAUAAAAUAAAGCUAAAACAA